CUUGUUUGCAAGAAAGUACGCAAAGCAAAUUAAAAAGGUAACCCAGAGAGGACCGUUAAACCAUAAAUUAGUAAUUGUUCGUGUCCGUUUCUCAAAUUCAUAGGUUUUAUAUGCUUGGCCUAAAUCGAUGUCGUUCUUUCUGUCCGUGUCCAUCAAAGGAAAUAGAAGUGCGCGACGUGAUCCUAAAGUUAAAGUUAAAACUUAAAAGUUACGAUAGUAGUAAAUCUUAAAAACUAUUAUCGCAGUUCGAAGUAGUACGAAUAUAAUAAGCCACAAGAAGAGUGAAGAAGCAUUGUUUAAACUCAAUUAGCCUCACAAAAAGGUCCGUCCAACGGGCCUUUUUGUGUUUUUUGCGAGUGCUUGCCUGGCAAGCCGAUCUUCCCCAGAACCCCCGGAACAACGUCAUAAAGGCUGAAGGAUUGGAAUCCGUCAACACAUUCCGAUCGGGAAUAUCCCCAAAACGGACAGAAACCCCAUCCAGCCCCAACGUUCCACCAAGGUUCAUCGAGGAGACAGACCGGUUUAUGUUACGGCGUAAAUUCGGUCUAGUCAAUCCGAACCCAGCUACGAACCGCCAUUGCCUGACGCCAACGAAACCGAGAAACCGAGACCGGUUCAUGUUCCGGCGUGAAUUCGGUCACCCCUCAACCGCCCUUGAAAUCCGCCAUCGAAGCCCGCACACCACCAGUUCCCGUACCACCUCUACCAACCAACAAGCGCACAAAACAUCCCGAAAAAUUGUAAACCGCAAGUACCACAAACCUAAUUUUAAAGUGACGUCACUAAUAGGCCAGUUUAGGUGAAUAAAUAGUUGUAAAACGAUUAUAGUUGGUGGUUAAGUUUUUAUGCAGUGUUCCCUAACAGUUGAGUAGUUUACACCUAAUUUCAAUUUGUUUCCGUUUUCCGUGCUCAGAAAGGAGUUCCAGGCCUCAUCCUGGUUGGACACUUUCUGAAGGGUCGACACGUGUGGCUUUUGAGCACUCAGCAUUUGAGAACUGUGGUUUCCCUUUUCCAGCGUAACGUAGUUUCUGGUGAUUUUCCCUUUCUGUUCCCUCUCGGAUGAAUUUGUAUGACUGUGAGAGUGUAACCGACUGACAGCAUAAGCGACCCAGUCUCAGCAUAAUUAUCCCCGUGAUAAAUUCCUACCGUGAGUUGCGGCUAG